AGAGGAGGGGGAGAAAGGUUCUCAUAGGCUAAGUCAUUGAUGGAAAGUCCCUGUUCUUUGCUUUCUGUUUCAGUGCUUACCAGUCCUUGAACAGGGGAGCUGUCCACCUUUGAGUGGUACUGAACUGAGAGCCUAGAAAACAAUUUUAUCUCUUUUCUGCUUGGUGCUGAAUCCUUCGCAGAGGAAUUGUGUUUGAAGAUCUAUACCUGGGAUUCUAUUUAGGGAACCAGAUGGAGAUUGGCGCUGACUCCGGAGAGUGGGGGUACCAGGACUGAGUCCACAAGUCCUUUUCUGAUGAGGGAAGUGUGAAUCCCCUCCCCCCUGUGGUGCUUUAUAGAGAAAGUAUGGGGGAGCUGGUCAGGAGUGACUGGAGGAGGGGGGCGUCACUGGGCGUCGGGUAAUCCCUUAAUGCAGGCAACACUGGCACUUGGACAGAGGUUGGGGAGGAGGCAAAGGGCUUGCUGGGGGGUGGGGAGCUGGGGGUCGUUAGAGACAGGAGAAGGUAUUCCCAAGGGCCGCCCGACGGGCCGCUGACGGCUGGCU